UUCACCCCCAGCGCCCUCAGGGGCGGAGAGCCACCAGAACCCCCCGGCACCACGUCAGCUGUGUGAAGGUGAAGAAGACAGGUGUUGUUUGCUGUAUGCUAAGAAGGGGGCACCCUGCCCCGUUUGCAACAAUAGCAGCUCUGGAAGCUGUCCCACCUCUUGGCCUGGCCGGACUUCUCCUGAGUUUCAGUAUACUGGACUGGACCUGCUGGACCUGUGAUGAACCAUCUGGAGUCCUGGUCUCCUUCCUAUGACAGAUGGCAAUGGCUGGACCUUCGAAGGACAAAAGCAGCAUCACGUUUCGGUAGUUAUAUCCAUCUCCCCUCUCUUCUGGGAAGCAGAGCCCCAGAAAAAGAAUGUAAACAAAUUGUUAUCGGCUGUUGUGAAAUGUGGCAGGUGAUCCUGUGACUGGUUCAUCUUCCAUGUGUACCAUUAAGGGCCAAUCACAGGAGCAGCUCAGGGGAGAUUCCUUGAACACAGAACUUUGUUAUUCAUUCCUUCUAUUCUAUUCUUAGCUUAGCAGCUCUCUGCAAGCUCUCUCUUUAUUCUUUAAAGUAUAGCUAUAAUGUAUUAUAUAUUAUAUAUCAAUAAAUCAAGCCUUCUGAUCAAGGAACAAGAUUCUCGUCCUUCUCUCACCACAGCGACCGCUGCAGGUCACUGUAAUAUCUGGUGACCCCUUGUGUCAGAGCAAAAAUUAAUUUGAUAAGACCAGAGGAGCAAAAUUGCUGCACUGGGAAAAAUCCUGUAUGUGUAGCAUGUGAUGGUUGCUUUGAAGUGACCACAAGUGAACCUUCUUCUGGAAAACCUUCAGGAAACAUGGUAGACAUGAGCAGCAUACCCGUGGAGCUGGCCAGAGCAAGCUGGACUCUUUCAGAAGGUACUGUUUGCUUUUCUAUCCCUGAGGGUUCAGCCAUGAGAAAAUUAUGGCUGUUUAUAUGGGGGAUACACCCCUCAGAGGACGUGGUUCGUUUUUCUUCUUCAGAGAAGAAACUUAUUGCCCUCUGGCAAGAAUGGUGUAGAGAAGACGGAUUUUUUUUGGAAAAAACAGAUCUCUAUAAGUUAUUUCGA